rnacentral:lncRNA from 1 species
CUUACAUAUUCUUCUUUUUGUUUCAGAAGAGGUUAUGUUGUUUUGAUGCCAGAAGAGGUUAGUUUCCUGAAGCACCAUAAAUCAUUGAUUUACUAAUCAGGCAUACUUAAGAGUACUGCAUUCAAUAAUUAGAAAUUAGGAGCGACACCAGAAUAAGUAAACACCAUAAAUAUAAAUCAUUAAUGUAUUACUAAUCAAGCAUACAGUUCGUUCAGUAUGGAUACCGUUACCUAA